CUCGGGAUGAAACGGAACCUAAAUAUACUGAUAGACCUUAAAUAACUAGAAACAAUAAAAAACCUACCCACAAAAAAUAUACCAGAUCCAGAUAGUUUGACAGUCAACUCAACGUUCAAGGUCUCCUGCCGCAUGUACUCUGCUCUGGAGUUUGGGAGAGAGUCUGAUGUAAAGAGAGAAAGAUGGGUGUGAAGAGCUUGCAGGCUGGAGCUCUGAUUUAUCCACUCGGCACAUCUACACCCCACCAGGCACUAUUCCACGGCUGUGGACACAUCAGUGAACCUCAGGAGCCUACUUUCUCAUAGGGCAAGACAGACGCUAACUAAACAGUAAGAAGGGAGUGGCGGAGUGUGUUAGAAGAGGUGCUGUGGACGGAAGAGAAGUAGAUCAGAGGAAGUGGUGGAGCAGUGAGGGGGAGGAGGGUACACCCAAGAGAAGGGUAAUCACCGGAGGGCUAAGAACAGAAUGCCUCAACAAGUUGUCAUGGGAACCAAGGGGGUGUCUGGGGAGCUGGGGAAGGGCCCCACAGGAGGGCAGGGUUAGGAUUUGGGUGAGGAAGUGGGCCCCAGGAGUGCAAAAGGAGGGAGGGACCCAGCCGAACUGAAAUGAGGCAAAACAUCUGGGACCACCAAUGCUGGAGGAGGCUUAAGAACGUGAGGGUUUGGAGCUUGAAGUCAAGGGUGACCAAUGACUGAGGUGGAGACUAGUAGCGCCCCCUCCCCAAGCCUGUCCUCAUAGGUCGCGCCCCCAUCCAGUCGUCGCUAAGACCCCACCCCAGCUUCAAGACCCCCUACUCGCCGAACCUCCCUCGGUAGUCCGCGGAUGCUCGCCCGCAGUCGGAGGGCGGCUCGGCCUUCGCGGCUCAGCCACUCCCCCCACGCCGAGGCCUAGGAUUCCCCCCACCCCCCAACUCCGCGCGCAGCCCCCAGGGCCCCCGCCCUGUGGGGCGGCCCAGGCCCUCCGCACGACCCCUCCCACCUCCCCCAGGGACCGGUACGAUCCCCCUCGCCCCCGGCCCCCGACUGGCCCCGAGCCCUCCCGGCUCCCGCCUCCGGCGCAGCCCCCUAGCCACCCCCGCUUCCCUCCCGGCUCAGGCCCCCUCCCCCCGCCGCCCCCGCCCCCGGGGAA
rnacentral:lncRNA from 1 species